CUUAGAUUGGAAUAACGGCUAGAAAUGGCCGCUAAUGCCGGAUACUUAUUAGCUUCGCAUGAAGUUAAUAUAAAAGGAGCGUUUGCUCCACUAAGAGAUCGGGGUGCGUAACAUUAGUUUGUUGGUGAGGUAAAGGCUCACCAAGACGAUUAUGUUUAGCGGGGUUGAGAGACUGAUCCGCCACACUGGGACUGAGAUACGGCCCAGACUCCUACGGGAGGCAGCAGUAGGGAAUUUUCCACAAUGGACGAAAGUCUGAUGGAGCGACACAGCGUGCAGGAAGACGGCCUUCGGGUUGUAAACUGCUGUUAUAAGGGAAGAAAAAGUAGCGUAGGAAAUGACGUUCCCUUGACGGUACCUUAUCAGAAAGCAACGGCUAACUAUGUGCCAGCAGCCGCGGUAAUACAUAGGUUGCAAGCGUUAUCCGGAAUUAUUGGGCGUAAAGCGUCUGUAGGUUGUUUGUUAAGUCUGACGUUAAAACUUGGAGCUCAACUCCAAAUUGCGUUGGAUACUGGCAAACUAGAGUUAUGUAGAGGUAAGCGGAAUUCCUUGUGAAGCGGUGAAAUGCGUAGAUAUAAGGAAGAACACCAAUUUGGCGAAGGCAGCUUACUGGGCAUAUACUGACACUGAGAGACGAAAGCGUGGGGAGCAAACAGGAUUAGAUACCCUGGUAGUCCACGCCGUAAACGAUGAUGAUUAGCUGAUGGGAACCAUCGGCGCAGCUAACGCAUUAAAUCAUCCGCCUGAGUAGUAUGCUCGCAAGAGUGAAACUUAAAGGAAUUGACGGGGACCCGCACAAGCGGUGGAGCAUGUGGUUUAAUUUGAAGAUACGCGAAGAACCUUACCCUCUCUUGACAUCUUCCGCAAAACUAUAGAGAUAUAGCGGAGGUUAACGGAAAGACAGAUGGUGCAUGGUCGUCGUCAGCUCGUGUCGUGAGAUGUUCGGUUAAGUCCUGCAACGAGCGCAACCCUUAUCCUUAGUUAAAUAUUCUAGGGAGACUGCCCGAGUAAUCGGGAGGAAGGUGGGGAUGACGUCAAAUCAUCAUGCCUCUUACGAGAGGGGCAACACACGUGCUACAAUGGGAAGUACAAAGAGAAGCAAAACGGCGACGUUAAGCAAAUCUCAAAAAACUUUUCUCAGUUCGGAUUGGAGUCUGCAAC
rnacentral:rRNA from 3 species